CCUACGGGAGGCAGCAGUGAGGAAUAAUUGUCAAUGGACGGAAGUCUGAACCAGCCAUGCCGCGUGCAGGAAGACGGCUCUAUGAGUUGUAAACUGCUUUUGUACAAGGGUAAACCUGAAUACGUGUAUUCAGCUGAAAGUACUGUACGAAUAAGGAUCGGCUAACUCCGUGACAGCAGCCGCGGUAAGACGGAGGAUCCAAGCGUUAUCCGGAUUUAUUGGGUGUAAAGGGUGCGUAGGCGGAUUGAAAAGUUGGAGGUGAAAUGUCCGAGCUGAACUCGGGAACUGCCUCUAAUACUGUUGAUCUAGAGAGUAGAUGCGGUAGGCGGAAUGUAUGGUGUAGCGGUGAAAUGCUUAGAGAUCAUACAGAACACAGAUUGCGAAGGCAGCUUACCAAUCUAUAUCUGACGUUGAGGCACGAAAGCGUGGGGAGCAAACAGGAUUAGAUACCCGAGUAGUC
rnacentral:rRNA from 1 species